AACGAACGCUGGCGGUAGGCCUAACACAUGCAAGUCGAACGGCAGCACCGUGACAGCUUGCUCUCACGGGUGGCACGUGGCGGAAGGGGGCGGAAUACAUCGGAAACUACUCUUUCGUGGGGGCUAACGUAGGGAAACUUACGCUAAUACAGCAUACGUCCUACGGGUGAAAGCCGGGGAUCUUCGGACCUUGCGCGAGGGAAUGAGCCGAUGUAGGAUUAGAUCGUUGGCGGGGUAAAGGCCCACAACGGCGACGAUCCGUAGCUGGUCUGAGAGGGUGAUCAGCCACACUGGAACUGAGACACGUUCCAGACUCCUACGCGAGGCAGCAGUGGAGAAUAUUGCACGAUGGACGCAAGCCUGAUCCAGCCAUACCGCGGGAGUGCUGAACCCCUUCGGCUUGGAAAGCGCUUUUGUUGUUAGAGAAAUACAGCAGUUUUACACCCCGCUGUUCUGACGGCACCCAAAGAAUAAGCUCCGGCUAACUUCGUG
rnacentral:rRNA from 1 species